UCGUGAAUAUUUUAGAAAAGGGGAAAGCCACCCUUUGCAGCCCACCACCUCCGGCCAACCAUUUUCCAGCGGCAGUCCGGCCACUUUUCCGGCAGUAAGGGGACCCAAACUUGAGACCUACACCCACACUUCAUUUGAGAAGGAUUUAAGGUACAAGGGUGGUUCUUGAAUCAAUUCAAGAGAAAGCUUGAAAUUCUUGAGUUAGUGGAACUAACAAAGUUCAAGGUUAGCGAAUUGGCGUGAAGUAUACGUUGCUUCUUGGUGAGGAUUGCGUGUUUACUUCAAGGUGAGUCAGGAUCUAGUGCACAGGCUGCGGAUCAGCAGGUGGACGCGUGACGGAGGUGGCCUGGAUUUUUGUGGUUGUGUGACACGUGUGUGUGGAUUUUUACAUAUGUAUGGUGUGAUGUUGGUACGUUUUAGUAGUUUAAGUACAUGGAUAUAGUAUGGUUAUGGUUGGAUUGAUGUAUGGUGUUGUUUUUGUUGGCCGGGAGUGGUGGCCGUGACUAGUGUGUGUUUGAUGGUGGACCUACGGGUCGGUUGAUGUUGAUGAUAUUAGAAGUGUUUUUUUUUUCUUGUA